AGUAACACCAGGCUCGAUGUGCCAUUUCCUUGUCUGUAGCCAUGUCUAUGGGCCCUUGAGUUAGCCACCUGGGUGAGGGCCUGCU
rfam:Gorilla gorilla gorilla genomic chromosome, chr4, whole genome shotgun sequence